rnacentral:lncRNA from 1 species
GAGAGAGAGAGAGAGAGAAGACUUACAGCUCCUGGAUCUUAGCCCUUUUUCCACAAAGAAGAAGAAGAAGUAGAAGAAGACUUACAGCUCCUGGAUCUUAGCCCUUUUUCCACAACUUCCUCCUAAACGCUCAUAGAGAGAGAGAGAGAGAGAGAGAGAGAGAGAGAGAGAGAGAGAGAGAGAGAGAGAGAGAGAGAGAGAGAGAUAAAAAAACAACGAAGUAGAAGAAGACUCACAAGAAGAAGAAGAAGAAGAAGAAGAAGAAGAAGAAGACUUACAGCUCCUGGAUCUUAGCCCUUUUUCCACAAAGAAGAAGAAGAAGUAGAAGAAGACUUACAGCUCCUGGAUCUUAGCCCUUUUUCCACAACUUCCUCCUAAACGCUCAUAGAGAGAGAGAGAGAGAGAGAGAGAGAGAGAGAGAUAAAAAAACAACGAAGUAGAAGAAGACUCAC